rnacentral:rRNA from 1 species
AGAUUGAACGCUGGCGGCAGGCCUAACACAUGCAAGUCGAGCGGCAGCACGGGUACUUGUACCUGGUGGCGAGCGGCGGACGGGUGAGUAAUGCCUAGGAAUCUGCCUGGUAGUGGGGGAUAACGCUCGGAAACGGACGCUAAUACCGCAUACGUCCUACGGGAGAAAGCAGGGGACCUUCGGGCCUUGCGCUAUCAGAUGAGCCUAGGUCGGAUUAGCUAGUUGGUGAGGUAAUGGCUCACCAAGGCGACGAUCCGUAACUGGUCUGAGAGGAUGAU